AAUCAACGCUGGCGGCGUGCCUCAGACAUGCAAGUCGAACGAUUAAAGCUCUCUUCGGAGAGUGUAUAGAGUGGCGCACGGGUGAGUAACACGUAAGUAAUCUACCUUCGAGUGGGGAAUAACGUCCGGAAACGGACGCUAAUACCGCAUAAUGCAGCGGCAUCGCAAGAUGACAGUUGUUAAAGAUUUAUCGCUUGAAGAGGAGCUUGCGGCAGAUUAGCUAGUUGGUAAGGUAACGGCUUACCAAGGCUACGAUCUGUAUCCGGUCUAAGAGGACGGUCGGACACACUGACACUGAAUAACGGGUCAGACUCCUACGGGAGGCAGCAGUCGGGAAUUUUGGGCAAUGGGCGAAAGCCUGACCCAGCAACGCCGCGUGAAGGAUGAAGUAUUUCGGUAUGUAAACUUCGAAAGAAUAGGAANAAUUAAUGACGUACUAUUUAUAAGGUCCGGCUAACUACGUGCCAGCAGCCGCCGCUG
rnacentral:rRNA from 1 species